rnacentral:rRNA from 1 species
UUGAUGAACGCUAGCUACAGGCUUAACACAUGCAAGUCGAGGGGCAGCAUGGUCUUAGCUUGCUAAGGCCGAUGGCGACCGGCGCACGGGUGAGUAACACGUAUCCAACCUGCCGUCUACUCUUGGACAGCCUUCUGAAAGGAAGAUUAAUACAAGAUGGCAUCAUGAGUCCACAUGUUCACAUGAUUAAAGGUAUUCCGGUAGACGAUGGGGAUGCGUUCCAUUAGAUAGUAGGCGGGGUAACGGCCCACCUAGUCUUCGAUGGAUAGGGGUUCUGAGAGGAAGGUCCCUCACAUUGGAACUGAGACACGGUCCAAACUCCUACGGGAGGCAGCAGUGAGGAAUAUUGGUCAAUGGGCGAGAGCCUGAACCAGCCAAGUAGCGUGAAGGAUGACUGCCCUAUGGGUUGUAAACUUCUUUUAUAAAGGAAUAAAGUCGGGUAUGCAUACCCGUUUGCAUGUACUUUAUGAAUAAGGAUCGGCUAACUCCGUGCCAGCAGCCGCGGUAAUACGGAGGAUCCGAGCGUUAUCCGGAUUUAUUGGGUUUAAAGGGAGCGUAGAUGGAUGUUUAAGUCAGUUGUGAAAGUUUGCGGCUCAACCGUAAAAUUGCAGUUGAUACUGGAUAUCUUGAGUGCAGUUGAGGCAGGCGGAAUUCGUGGUGUAGCGGUGAAAUGCUUAGAUAUCACGAAGAACUCCGAUUGCGAAGGCAGCCUGCUAAGCUGCAACUGACAUUGAGGCUCGAAAGUGUGGGUAUCAAACAGGAUUAGAUACCCUGGUAGUCCACACGGUAAACGAUGAAUACUCGCUGUUUGCGAUAUACAGCAAGCGGCCAAGCGAAAGCGUUAAGUAUUCCACCUGGGGAGUACGCCGGCAACGGUGAAACUCAAAGGAAUUGACGGGGGCCCGCACAAGCGGAGGAACAUGUGGUUUAAUUCGAUGAUACGCGAGGAACCUUACCCGGGCUUAAAUUGCAGAUGAAUUACGGUGAAAGCCGUAAGCCGCAAGGCAUCUGUGAAGGUGCUGCAUGGUUGUCGUCAGCUCGUGCCGUGAGGUGUCGGCUUAAGUGCCAUAACGAGCGCAACCCUUGUUGUCAGUUACUAACAGGUCAUGCUGAGGACUCUGACAAGACUGCCAUCGUAAGAUGUGAGGAAGGUGGGGAUGACGUCAAAUCAGCACGGCCCUUACGUCCGGGGCUACACACGUGUUACAAUGGGGGGUACAGAGGGCCGCUACCACGCGAGUGGAUGCCAAUCCCAAAAACCUCUCUCAGUUCGGACUGGAGUCUGCAACCCGACUCCACGAAGCUGGAUUCGCUAGUAAUCGCGCAUCAGCCACGGCGCGGUGAAUACGUUCCCGGGCCUUGUACACACCGCCCGUCAAGCCAUGGGAGCCGGGGGUACCUGAAGUGCGUAACCGCGAGGAGCGCCCUAGGGUAAAACU